GACGGAGGGUGCGAGAGCUAAUCGGAAUUACUGGGCGUAAAGCGCAUGUAGGCGGCCGAACAAGUCAGGUGUGAAAUCCUCGGGCUUAACCUGGGAAGUGCACUUGAUACUGUCCGGCUAGAGUUUGGCAGAGGAAAGUAGAAUUCCCGGUGCAGCGGUGAAAUGCGUAGAUAUCGGGAGGAAUACCAGUGGCGAAGGCGGCUUUCUGGGCCAAUACUGACGCUGAGGUGCGAAAGCGUGGGGAGCAAACAGG
rnacentral:rRNA from 1 species